rnacentral:lncRNA from 1 species
UGCCGUUGUGAACAAGAGCCUAUAAUUAAUGCUUACACAUGAGCCGAGAUGGGAAUCACGGUCUUCAGGUUAAACAGGGACCCAGUAAAUAGCAUCCCUUCUACUUUUCCUGCCAUGGGGACUUUUACCAUUUCAGACAGCUGGACGUGGAAACGCAUGCCUUUAAUCCCCAGCACUCCAGAGGCAGAAGGAUAAAUCUCUAUGGAUCAAAUGCCAUCCAGAGUUAUAUGAUGAGACCCUGUCUCAAACAAACAAAAUCAGCUCUAUGUAUACACAGUGCAUUCUAAUCACUGUUAUACCCAGCUUCUCUAUUUCCCUCCCAGUCUGUGGGACCUCUUAUUGUUUCUGUUUUGUGCCCACUGAGUUAGCCAGGGCUCCCUUUGUGGCCACAGGCUGGUUUGCUGCGUUCACUGGAACAGUCUGAACUGCUUGGGUACAAGGCUGAAGACAAUGCCUGUCCCUCCCCAGAGUGCAUCACAGUGGUUCAGAGUUCAGGUUGGAAGCGUGGCCUCCUGGAUCUCUGACAGCCCUGGCCAACUGCAUAAUUUCAGGUGCAAGCGUGCUAUGAAAGCGCCCAUCUGUGGAUCUUCAUUCUCUUACAAGAAGUCAAACGCAGUUAGGAAAGAGUUUUAAAAUCAGCAGUCGCUGUGAGUGGAAGAUACUAAGGAAGACCUAAUCACCGAAUAAUGUGAACACAGGGUUGGUUGUCCAUGAGACAGCACCUGCUACUUAAUGAAAGCAACACAGUAAGAGCUGCGUUAGCAUCAUCCUGCCUGGUUCCCGGCAACCAGGCAGGCUCAGGAGCAGAUAGCAAUCUGUCAUCUUUCUGCCGGCUUCAGCUAUAGGGGAGAAACAGAAACGUGGUACCACAAUCCACUUCCAGUGGAUGAUGGUGACGUGUUCUAAGGAGAUGGGUGCAGAGGCUCUUGUCAAAUGAGGGAAGAGAAAACGGAAGUGGGGAGAGGAGGCGGGACUCCAGAAACCUCACUGCAACCUUCCUAGAAUAAUAUUGCCAGACAGAAAUGGCAAGCGCAUCCACGUUUAAAACGCAAUUCCCUGCUCAUAUUUAAAGCCUGCCUUAAAGCCCCAUUAAUAUUUGACAAGUCCCAUUAAGACAGGGAUAAAAUAAAAUUAAAGUGGACCCCUAUCAGGUUCUGCUUGCCAUCCUCCACUGGAGUGGUCUAAAAUGACAACGUUAUACAAAUCAAAUCCACCCUUUUUCGCUUUAGGAAUUAAAGCCGCUAAAACCCCCAGGGAGACUGCCUUCCCUAACUAUAGCAGGCAUCGAACUUUCUCUUCCUGGCAGAGGGGCGGCUCCAGCUAUGUCCCUGGCUCCUAAGGUCCUGGUGAGCUCUCUGGAAUGUGCAGGGUCCACGCCCUGCGAGCCCAGCUCUUUGUCGCCUGUAACCAGCAGGCGGCGCUGUCCCCGCGCUGCGGCCACCGCCCGGCUUCCUCCGAGGCCAUUUCCGUCGCAGCGGGUGAGCUCACCGCCGCCACGCCUUGGAAGUCACCCUGGGCGAUUGCUUAAGUUUCUGGACCAUCCUGCCUCUUCUUUUAUGUAACGUCUCUUGAUUUCUUUUUAACGUUUCAUACGUUUACACGGCGAGUAUUGAUCCUAGCCGAGAAUUCUACCUCUG